UACGUAGGGUGCAAGCGUUGUCCGGAAUUAUUGGGCGUAAAGGGCUCGUAGGCGGCCAACUAAGUCAGACGUGAAAUCCCUCGGCUUAACCGGGGAACUGCGUCUGAUACUGGAUGGCUUGAGUUUGGGAGAGGGAUGCGGAAUUCCAGGUGUAGCGGUGAAAUGCGUAGAUAUCAGGAGGAACACCGAUUGCGAAGGCAGCUCGCUGGGACGUCACUGACGCUGAGACGCGAAAGCGUGGGGAGCAAACAGG
rnacentral:rRNA from 1 species